rnacentral:rRNA from 1 species
CCUACGGGAGGCUGCAGUGAGGAAUAUUGGUCAAUGGGCGAGAGCCUGAACCAGCCAAGUCGCGUGAAGGAUGAAGGAUCUAUGGUUUGUAAACUUCUUUUAUAUGGGAAUAAAGUGAGGAACGUGUUCCUUUUUGUAUGUACCAUAUGAAUAAGCAUCGGCUAACUCCGUGCCAGCAGCCGCGGUAAUACGGAGGAUGCGAGCGUUAUCCGGAUUUAUUGGGUUUAAAGGGUGCGUAGGCGGACGCUUAAGUCAGCGGUAAAAUUGCGGGGCUCAACCUCGUCGAGCCGUUGAAACUGGGUGCCUUGAGUGGGCGAGAAGUACGCGGAAUGCGUGGUGUAGCGGUGAAAUGCAUAGAUAUCACGCAGAACUCCGAUUGCGAAGGCAGCGUACCGGCGCCCAACUGACGCUGAAGCACGAAGGCGUGGGUAUCGAACAGGAUUAGAUACCCGAGUAGUC